rnacentral:rRNA from 1 species
AUUGAACGCUGGCGGCAUGCUUUACACAUGCAAGUCGAACGGUAACAGGCCUUCGGGUGCUGACGGGUGGCGCACGGGUGAGUAAUGCAUCGGAACGUGCCCAGGGGUGGGGGAUAACGCAGCGAAAGCUGUGCUAAUACCGCAUGUGAUCUGAGGAUGAAAGCGGGGGACCAGGCAGCAAUGUUUGGCCUCGCGCCUUUGGAGCGGCCGAUGUCAGAUUAGGUAGUUGGUGGGGUAAAGGCCUACCAAGCCGACGAUCUGUAGCUGGUCUGAGAGGACGACCAGCCACACUGGGACUGAGACACGGCCCAGACUCCUACGGGAGGCAGCAGUGGGGAAUUUUGGACAAUGGGCGCAAGCCUGAUCCAGCAAUGCCGCGUGCGGGAAGAAGGCCUUCGGGUUGUAAACCGCUUUUGUACGGAACGAAAAGGCUCUGGCUAAUACCUGGGGCUGAUGACGGUACCGUAAGAAUAAGCACCGGCUAACUACGUG